rnacentral:lncRNA from 1 species
UACAGGCGCGCACGCCUGCUAAGAAGAGACAGCGUUUUACCAUGUGCCCAGGCUGAUAAACCAUUUAAUUUCCAUCUUAUUACUGGUUGAGUUGGGAUUAAGUUCAAUAAAUUGCUAUUUUUUAGAAUUUAUCCCAUUUAUUUUCUUUAAUCAACCCUUUUAUUUGUUCAAUUUUGGAAUAAUUUGGCUAUUUUUUAGCUUCUCAUUGUAUGUAUUUUUAUUACGCUGAUAGUUGCUGUUCUACAGACUACAACAUUCCUUUUUCAUUUACUAAAAAUAUCUUUAAAUCAAUAUCUUAACCAUUUUCCAAAUGAUGUAUAAUUACCCUCCACCAUUACCCUCUACCAUUUGUUCUAUUAUUAUCUUAUGUUUUAUUUUAUAUAUUUUAAAUUCUACAAUAAUUUAUUAUUUUUUGGAUCCAUCAAUAUUGAUUAUAUUUAUCCAUUUAUUCACCAUUUUUCAAACUUUUCAGCUUUUCUUGCAGUUCCGUGUUUUCAUCUGGCACGCUUCACCUUUAGCAUAAGGAAGUAGUUUUAGUAUUUCUUGCAAUUCAGAUCUGCCAGAGUAAAAUUCACCUAGCUUUUAUUUCUCUCUCUUUCUUUAUAAAACCUCUUUGUUUUGCCUUUGCUUUUGGAUAAUAUUUUAUUGACGUUUCUGCUUUCUUUUAUAGCUUUUGUUGAAAAGCCAACUUCCAAUGUUACUGUUUUUAUUUGUUUUAAAUAAUUUGUCUUUUUAUACCUUUAGGUGCUAUUACGUAUUUUCAAUUUGAAUUUGUUUUAGUAAUUUUUUUAUAAUGCACUUAUUUGUAUUUCUUUUGUGGUUAUUCAAUUUCAUGUUCACCGAGGUGAUCAAACUGUGGUUUUAUAUGUUUCAUCAAAUUUAGAAAAUUCUUAAUAAUAUUUUCUCAAUAUUUCUUUUAAGUCUCUUUUGUCUUCUUGUUAUACCCAAAUUACACAUACAUUAAGUGUUUUGAGUGAUUACAUGUCUAUCUACUCUUCUUCCAUUAUUUUUUCUCAGUUCUUCAGUUUGGAUAUUUUCUAUUGAUGUGUGUUUGAAACCACGAGUCCUGUCUUCCAAUGUGUUCAGGCUUCUGUUGAACCCAUCUAUCAAGUUUUUAACUUCAGAUGGUUAUGUGUUGCAUUUAUGGAAUGUACCUUGGAUUUUUUCUUUCUUUUUUCCUUUCUUUCUCUCUCUCUGUCUCGUUCUUUCUUUCAUCUAUAUUUUAAGUUCAGGGAUACACGUGCAGUUUCUUUUGCUAAGCAGAAACUCUUUAGUUUAUAGAUGCCAUUUGUCAACUUUUUGCUUUUGUUGCAAUUGCUUUUGACAAAUUCAUCAUGAAAUAUUUGCCCUUUCCAAUGUCCUGAAUGAGAUAGGAUUUCAUCCUGUUGGCCAGGCUGUUCUUGAACUCCUAAGCUCAGGUGAUCCACCCGCCUCAGCCUCCAAAGUGCUGGGAUUACAGGCAUAAACCACCACAUCCGGUCUUAUUUUUAUCAAUUUCAAAUAUAUUAUGAAAUUAUUUCUCUUUCCAUCCAUUACUUUAUCUUUUACUGCAUUUUCUUUAAUAUAUUAACCAAUAACCAUUUAAUAUGUUAAGCAUUCUAUUCAGAAAACUUGGCCUGCUAAAUCCAAUACAUAGAUCACUGGAUCUGGGGCUAUUAACCAACACACUUUUUGCCAUCUGCAGUUUUCUCUUUUUAUAGCCUAACUUUGAAUUUCGUUUUCUUUUAUUUUUUCCCCAAUUUAUCCUGCUUUUUUCAUGUUAAUAGAGUGUGAACUUGUCAAAAUUAAUUAAAUUCAUAUAUUUUCCUAAAAUUUUCUAAGAAAAAUUCAUGUGUUUACUUCCAUAGUAAACACAAUUGUCUUAAAAAUAGGCAUGUUGUUUUCUUUUUUGUACUGGAAAACUUAGGUAUUAAUAGUUCCCCUGGUUUACCAAUCUUGUUUUGUGGAUUAGUUAAGCUAGUAGUCCAUGAGAACUCUAGCACAAUGAGGUCAUGACAUUAAAUCUUGAAAAUUUUUGCUAAAUUGCCAUGAUGCUAUAAAAAGUGUUGGGGCUUUUGGUCUUUAUUUUUUGAACCUUGAAAACAAAUUAGAAUUCAAUUUCCUCCAUGUCACUUUUGCAAGAAUAUUCAAGUGUUUUUUGAGUCAUGAUAAUAUUGAUCAAUUAUGAACACUUUAGAAUGGGAGAAAAUUAACAAUUAUGUGUCUUUCUCAGUGAGACCCAUCAUCUGAUAUUCUCACGAUUUUGACAAUGAUGGACUGUUGUCAAACUCUCAUUCAUUAACCCUACUCCUACUUUCUGGGACACACAGUAGUAGACUGAGGUUCUUCAAAUAUUUGAAGUCCGUAUCUCCAUUUCCCUCCCCUUUGACUUACAGGAAUGCCAGUGGAAACUUUCUCAGGAUCAUUAAGCUGGUCAGUUUGACUUUUCAUUGGCAUAUAGCCAUUAAAAACCUAACUACAGCUUAGUGUAAAGAAACUUCAAACAUAAAUGUAGGUAAUCAGUUCUUGUACAACAGAGCUCAGCUGCUGUGGGUGACAUUUGCCUGCUGGAAGAGUGUAACCUCUGCUUAUUAAUAAUGACUCUUCUCAAGUCAGCUGCUCUGAGCAGAUUGCACUUUCUAGAGAAAAGUUGCAAAUUUGGGAAAGGCAAAGGCAAAAAUCAUAUCUAUUGGGGAUAAUGCAAAGGCCUAAUAUGGGCAGAAUAUUUGUAAAAGUGGGUAAGGAGCUAAGGAUAAGGCUGAGUAUUGAC